rnacentral:lncRNA from 1 species
GUUCAUGGGGCCCCGUUGGCCUUCAGACCUGUUGUCGAGAGGUUUGGAGCUCCAACUUGUACUUUGGAGGGGGCUGUGGCGGACUGGAUUGCCGGGACCUUCCAGAUGUGCUCCUGUGCUGUACCAUUCUCCAGGGCUGUUGUUGAUGGGCUCAGCUCUUUGUCCCUCCAUGGCAGCGGGGUUGUUGCUGUUUAUAAUUUUGAGGGGCUCUGCCCGGCACUUGGGAUUGCCCCCGCCUGCCUCCAGCUUUGCCGGUUUCUCUUGGAAGGCGCACCUCAGGAUAGUUGCGGCCCAGCCUUGUAUAGAGGCAUAGCAGGCGUCCUUUGCAA